rnacentral:tRNA from 1 species
GGUGGCUCAGUGGUAGAGCGCUUGCUUUGUAUGCAUGAAGCCCUGGGUUCGAUUCCUCAGCACCA